AGAGUUUGAUCCUGGCUCAGGACGAACGCUGGCGGCGUGCCUAACACAUGCAAGUCGAACGAGUCCACCCUUUCGGGGGUGAGGCGAGUGGCGGACGGGUGAGUAACACGUGAGCAACCUGUCUCCGUGCGGGGGACAACCCGGGGAAACCCGGGCUAAUACCGCAUGGGCGGGACCUUCGAGUGGAGGACCUGGGAAAGACGGCCUCCUUACAGUGCUGUCGCGCGGAGAGGGGCUCGCGGGCUAUCAGCUGGUUGGUGAGGUAACGGCUCACCAAGGCGACGACGGCUAGGGGGUCUGAGAGGACGACCCCCCACAUUGGAACUGAGACACGGUCCAGACUCCUACGGGAGGCAGCAGUGGGGAAUUUUGGGCAAUGGCCGAAAGGCUGACCCAGCGACGCCGCGUGCGGGAGGACGCCCUACGGGGUGUAAACCGCUGUCAGAGGGGAAGAAACUCGGGAGCAGGAAUAUGGUUCCCGCUUGACGGUACCCUCAAAGGAAGCGCCGGCUAACUCUGUGCCAGCAGCCGCGGUAAUACAGAGGGCGCGAGCGUUGUUCGGAAUCACUGGGCGUAAAGCGCGCGCAGGCGGGACGACAAGUGGGGAGUGAAAUUCCGGGGCUCAACUUCGGGCCUGCUUUCCAAACUGUCGACCUGGGGACCGGUAGAGGCCGGUGGAAUUCCCGGUGUAGCGGUGGAAUGCGUAGAGAUCGGGAAGAACACCCGUGGCGAAGGCGGCCGGCUGGGCCGGAUCCGACGCUGAGGCGCGAAAGCGUGGGGAGCAAACAGGAUUAGAUACCCUGGUAGUCCACGCCGUAAACGAUGGGCACUAGGCGCUGGGGGGAGCGACCCCUUCGGUGCCGCAGCUAACGCGUUAAGUGCCCCGCCUGGGGAGUACGGCCGCAAGGCUGAAACUCAAAGGAAUUGACGG
rnacentral:rRNA from 1 species